UACGAAGGGGCUAGCGUUGUUCGGAAUCACUGGGCGUAAAGCGCACGUAGGCGGAUCUUUAAGUCAGGGGUGAAAUCCCGAGGCUCAACCUGGGAACUGCGUCCGAUACUGGCAGGCUUGAAUCCGGGAGAGGGAUGUGGAAUUCCAGGUGUAGCGGUGAAAUGCGUAGAUAUCGUGGAGGAACACCGGUGGCGAAGGCGGCAUCCUGGACCAAUAUUGACGCUGAGGAGCGAAAGCC
rnacentral:rRNA from 1 species